rnacentral:miRNA from 1 species
UACCCGUAAGUCUCCAUCGAG